CACACCGAAAAUUCAGUUUAGUUGUAGAGAUUUUUCUUUGUGGUCAAGGCUUGCUGUAACACCCGUAAAAAAUUGCAAAUCUAUUGAAAAAACUAACAAAUUUCGAGAAUGCGAAGUCCCUCGGCAGCAGUUUCGGCAAUGCUAAGGAUUUGUCUGAUAUAAUGACUGGCAGCUUUAAGGUGCAACUCAUCAACAUGGGCACUCGUGCUGCCGCCUUUCAGGCAAAAUUGAGAGCCCUUCAUGACUACCACGUACGUCUAUUGCACAAUGUCUUACCCGCCCCCUCUGGCGUUGAUAUUGCCAACAAUAUCAAAUACUUUUCACAAACUCUACUAACUGUCCUUAAAGAUGUGCGCACUUCUCCGCACGAACUUAUACGGGAUCCCCACGAGGAUCCCACACGCAUGUCUGCCUAUCCCAAUCUCGAAUAUGGCAACCUCUAUAAUGCCCUAACUAUGCUCAUCGAUGUGGCACCUUGCAUCCAGUAUGGACAAAUCGUUUUCGGCAAAGCUCUUUUGCAGUGCCUAAGCUGCAUUCUACCCUUCCUCGACAAGGAUCUUAUUGAUAAUCUACCCUAUCUGGUUAGCUCUACUAUAUCUGUACUACCACCAGCUCUGCACCAGGACAUUGUCAAUGCCCUGUGCUACUAUAUCUUACCCUUUACUAUCACUCGUCGCAGCUCCGAUGAGCAGGAGUGCCAGGCCUGCCAGUCAGUCUCCUCCGUGAUCAUGAUGGUGCUGCAGUAUUCCAACAAUCCCGCCCAUCACUGCCAGCUGCUGGAAUGCCUGAUGACCCUCAAGCAUAAUGUGGUCAAGGACAUUCUGUGCGUGGUGGCCUAUGGCACUGCUGUCUCCCGCUCCUCGGCGGCCAAGCUGCUCUUCUACUACUGGCCCGCCUUCGAUGCCAAUCUCUUUGAUCGCAAAGUCUUGCUCUCCAAACUGACAAACGACCUUGUGCCCUUCACCUGCCAGCGCGAGCAUUGCCCGAAUGCUGGGAAUGCCGAGGCAGCCAAGGUCUGCUAUGAUCAUAGCAUCAGCAUCGCCUAUGCACCGGACUGUCCGCCGCCCCUUUAUCUGUGCAUCGAGUGCGCCAAUGAGAUCCAUAGGGAGCAUGCCAACCUGGAGUUUGGCGACAUCCUGCAUCCCAUGCAGCAGGUCUCGAUGGUCUGCGAGAACAAGAACUGUCGCUCCAACGAGAAGUCCGCCUUCUCCAUCUGCUUCUCCACGGAGUGUGCCACCUUCAACGGCAAUCAUCCCAUUCGAUACUGCAGCCAGUGCCACAGCAAUAGGCACAACUCGCGACGCGGCGGCGAUCAUGUGGUGCACCGCAGCCUGCAACCCGCCUGGCAGAUGGAUCCCGAGAUGCAGAUGCAUAUGGUGGAGUCGGUGGUGAGCCUUUUGCGGGAGUCGAAGCCGCUCAACUUUGAGCCCGGCAAGGAGUCCUCCUCCUCGGAGGUGAAGAAGAACGGUUCCGCGGCCACGGCGGAUAAUAUUUCACGGGAGGAGCGUCAGAGGCUGGGCCGCUAUGGCAUUUGGCUGCUCGUGGGUCGCUGCACGCCCACUGCCGACACCCCCGUUGAGGUGCUGGGCAGAAUUCUGAGUAUGCUCUUCCAUUGGUUCCAUGUCACCGCUUAUUCCUACGAUGCUGCUGGUCAGGUGGAGAGCACCAUUGAGAAGCUGAAAGUGGAUCACGUCUGCAAUUGGCUGAAGGAAAUCUGCCGCAUCCACUACAACGUCUUCAUCGCCUGCUUGCUGCCACAUCCGCCCGAGUAUGCCCGCGUCGGCGGUCAUUGGGAGACCCUGGCCUCUCGCACCAGCCACCUCAAGGAGGGUAUGCAGCGUCUGAUCUGCCUGGUGCCGUACGAGGUGAUCACCUCGGAGAUCUGGGACUAUGUCAUGCCCCACUGGAUGGAGGCCAUCACCAAUGAUGUGGCCGAGAAGGAGCUCAACGAGCUGAAGAUCGUCCUCAGCAAGAUCCUCGAUCCGGAGAUGUCGCCCCUGGGCUUCGAUGGCAAGACAAUGUACAACUUUGUGGCCAUACGCUUCGAGAAGACCACCGCCAAGGUCCAACAGCAGGCACUCCACUGGCUGCAGAUCCUCACGAAGCUAGAGAUUCUCAUUCCGCUGGUCCAGCUCUUUGCCAUGUUCGGCGAUGGCGUUCGCAUCAUGAAGUACGGCAUCCAGCACGAGCUAAUGCGCGAGAAGGACGCUGCACAGCUGCAGCUUCCGAAGGCCCCCAAGGUGCCCUGCAAGGAGACCAAGGCAGAGAUGGCCAAUCCCCCCAGACGCAGUUCCAUUUCCCCUGUGGUGGAGGAUGACUCUGGCAAUACGUCGGCCAUAUCGGACGAUGAGGCACCCACCAAUCGCCACACGGAGUUCUCCACCGAUGCCGAGCACAAUCUCACCUGUUGCAUCCUCAUGCUGGACAUCCUUCUGAAGCAGAUGGAGCUGCAGGACGUGGAACAGCACAUGGGCAUCCAUACGAGUGUUUGCGAGAAUGUAUCCCGGCUGAUCAAGUGUAUGGUCACAGCGGCCCGUGUGGGCCUUAGCAGCCAUGUGUGCGCCCUGAAGGUGGCGGAAUGCGCCUACUGCGAGGCCUCCAUCAUGUGGCAUCAGUUGGCCACGAAAUUAGUUCAGUUUAUGGCUCCUUUGAACCCCGUUAGGCCACCAGAUGUUCCCAUUGAGGACAUCAUCGAGGAGGAAAAGUCCUCACGCAAAUCCCCGCCCGAGUCCGACAAGGAAAAGACCAGGGAUGUAUCUCUAUCAAUGGCUCCCCUGCCCAUACCCCUGGGUCCGCUUGGAGGAUUUGCAGAUAUCUUUAAGCUAGAUCAAUUCUUUUCAGACGAUGGAAAAAUUAUUAUAAUGGCAGGUCCUGUGCCGGUGGCAGUGCCCCAACCCGAACCGCACUCGGUCGGCGGAGUGCUCGUACAUAUGCCCCACGUUUGUUCCAAUAACGAAAAUGGGCAUUCAGUUGAUAGUAAUGAAUUGAGAAAAGUUCACGCCACAGACGAGAUCAUGACGGCCACUGUUGAGACAGUUUCAGAGCAGCUCGAUCUGGCCUCCAUCCUGCCCACAGAUAGGGCCAUAGCCCGUUCUAUAACCCUCUCCGAUGCGGAUGUCGGGAGCGCUAAUGUCAGCGUCACCAAGGCGUCGGUUAUGGGUGAGAACGGUGCCAAUGGCAGUACCGCCUGUGGGGGCGAGAAUGGCAGUGGUUCGGACGAGGAUGAGGAGGAGGAGGACAGCGAUGAUUUCUGGCACACUUCGGUGGGGAAAUUCAAAUUUACGCUGGACACGCUGCCUCAACCUCUGCAGUAUAUCCACCAGCUUCUCACGGAAAUACCCACCAUCAAGAAGCCAGAGAUACUGUACUAUGUGCUGCAGUGCCUCAAUACCAUGGCCCUGCAUGGAGAUGCCCUAGCCAAGGCGGCCAAAGAGCAGCGUGGCUUCUUCAUCUGGUGCCAGGAGAAUCUACUCAUCAAAAACCUUUGGGAACUUUGCAAUGCCGAACACUCGCACAUCUGCCAGGUGGGCGUGCCAUUGCUGCUGCACUGCAUCACGCUGCCGCUCGGUUCGGAUGUCUUUUGGCGCGUGGUGCAGGAGGCCUUCCACGAUACGGACUGGCGGGUUCGCUUCACAGCAGUCGAACGAGUAACCGUGAUUACACGUUUUAUGGAUUCGACGCCGCUGCGCUCAGAGGUGGGCCUGCAAACGGCACUGGCCACGGCCUUCUGUCAUCUCAUCGCCAGCAUGGAUGACAUCAAUGUGUAUGUGGCGCAGCGGGCGACGCUCUAUAUCGGUACGAUUCAUGACACGGCAAUACGGUCACUGCUCUUCUGCUUGGAGUCGCAGUUCGAUCUCUUCAUUGUGGACCGCCCGGUGGUGCUGCAGUCCGUCUAUCAGCUGCACAACUCCCUCUCCGAUCGCAAGCUGCUCGGCUGGGACUUUUUCCUCAAUCGGUUCGACACGCUCUUCCGAUCUCUCGGACAGCACCCUGCAUGGCAGUGCACCGGGCUCCUUUGAUGACACCAUACACUUUGAGGAUGUGAUGCCCACCCGCAAGCGCCUCGAAUACACGGAGGAGAAAUCCACAAAAUCGCACAA
rnacentral:misc_RNA from 1 species